GGGUGCUUCGGUUUCCUCCCACAGUCCAAAGAUGUGCAGCUGUAACACUUAACCCAGGCGCAGGAUGUGUGUACGCCGUCUAUGUAACAGCAGCUGUGGCAAUUGAAAAACUCCAACACAAACCAAGUUUGUACCCUGAUUCCUGUCCAAGAGUCUUUUCAAUUUGUCAGCGACAGAAAAACAAAUGAAAAGCUUUGAGAAAGCUCAGCUGUUGACACCUUGCAACAUAACCUCUGCAAACUGAGUUACAAUGAACCCAUCAACCUUUCUUCCAAUCUUUCAUGAAUCAUUCAGUGAUCAUGGUGCUGAGAUAAGCAAAGUCUGCCUCCAUAAUUCCACAAUGCAUGGUUUAACAAACUUUCUACCUUGUCUCUCUCAUUACAAAGACAUACUAAAUUCUUCAGAUGGGGGGAAAGAAUGAUGGUGAGCUUUCAGUGAAGUGGCCCUUUGCGUCCAGAAAAGCGAUAUCUUUUUUUAAGAGAUUUCUUCUGAAUCAUUCAAUGCAAUAAAUGCUCAAUUGCACUAAUUCUGAGCUUCCUGUUUAUCAGAUUUGCUUACUAAGAUUUCAGGAUGCAUGUUCUAAACCGCUUUGUUUUACAUUCUAACAUUUAUAGAGCACAUUCCAUUAUGACAGUCAGUAGAACUCUGAACAUACAUUAGAGCAGUACUUGUAUUUUAUUAAGAAAUGGCAAUAGAUUAGCAAUAAAAACAUCAACUAACUCCAUUGUACACUGAAGUGAAUCUUUAUUUACUUUUGUGGAGACAAUAAAGGAAAAGGGGGAAAUAAUGAACAAUGUGUCAGCACCACUCUUUUCGAAUCAUAUAGUGCAGAAGCAUGGGCGGCAAUUAGAUUGGUGU